rnacentral:rRNA from 1 species
CCGGCGACCGGCGGACGGGUGCGUAACGCGUAUGUAACCACCUUUGACAGGGGGAUAACAUCGAGAAAUUGGUACUAAUACCCCAUAACAUCACCGGAGGCAUCUUCGGUGGUUGAAAACUCAGGUGGUCAGAGAUGGACAUGCGUUGUAUUAGCUAGUUGGUGAGGUAACGGCUCACCAAGGCGACGAUACAUAGGGGGACUGAGAGGUCAACCCCCCACAUUGGUACUGAGACACGGACCAAACUCCUACGGAAGGCAGCAG